rnacentral:tRNA from 1 species
GCCUGGGUGGCUCAGUCGGUUAAGCAUCUGACUUCGGCUCAGGUCAUAAUCUCCCAGCCCGUGAGUUCGAGUCCCGCGUCGGGUU